rnacentral:tRNA from 1 species
GGCCCAGUGGCCUAAAGGAUAAGGCACCAGUCUUCGAAGCUUGGGAUUGUGUGUUCAAGUCCCACCUGGGUUG